CGGAGGGUGCAAGCGUUAUCCGGAUUCACUGGGUUUAAAGGGAGUGCAGGCGGACUGGUAAGUCAGUGGUGAAAUACCUGAGCUUAACUCGGGAACUGCCAUUGAUACUAUCAGUCUUGAAUGUUGUUGAGGUUUGCGGAAUGGGUCGUGUAGCGGUGAAAUGCAUAGAUAUGACCCGGAACACCUAUUGCGAAGGCAGCAGGCUAAACAAAUAUUGACGCUGAGGCUCGAAAGCGUGGGGAUCAAACAGGAUUAGAUACCCUGGUAGUCCACGCCCUAAACGAUGAUUACUCGACAUACGCGAUACACUGUGUGUGUCUGAGCGAAAGCAUUAAGUAAUCCACCUGGGAAGUACGACCGCAAGGUUG
rnacentral:rRNA from 1 species